rnacentral:rRNA from 1 species
CCAUUUAACCGUUAUCCGGUUAUUGGGCGUAAGAGAGUGCAGGCGGUUUUCUAAGUCUGAUGUGAAAGCCUUCGGUUAAACGGAGAAGUGCAUCGGAAACUGGAUAACUUGAGUGCAGAAGAGGGUAGUGGAACUCCAUGUGUAGCGGUGGAAUGCGUAGAUAUAUGGAAGAACACCAGUGGCGAAGGCGGCUACCUGGUCUCCAACUGACGCUGAGACUCGAAAGCAUGGGUAGCGAACAGGAUUAGAUACCCUGGUAGUCCAUGCCGUAAACGAUGAGUGCUAGGUGUUGGAGGGUUUCCGCCCUUCAGUGCCGGAGCUAACGCAUUAAGCACUCCGCCUGGGGAGUACGACCGCAAGGUUGAAACUCAAAGGAAUUGACGGGGGCCCGCACAAGCGGUGGAGCAUGUGGUUUAAUUCGAAGCUACGCGAAGAACCUUACCAGGUCUUGACAUCUUGCGCCAACCCUAGAGAUAGGGCGUUUCCUUCGGGAACGCAAUGACAGGUGGUGCAUGGUCGUCGUCAGCUCGUGUCGUGAGAUGUUGGGUUAAGUCCCGCAACGAGCGCAACCCUUGUUACUAGUUGCCAGCAUUAAGUUGGGCACUCUAGUGAGACUGCCGGUGACAAACCGGAGGAAGGUGGGGACGACGUCAGAUCAUCAUGCCCCUUAUGACCUGGGCUACACACGUGCUACAAUGGACGGUACAACGAGUCGCGAACUCGCGAGGGCAAGCAAAUCUCUUAAAACCGUUCUCAGUUCGGACUGCAGGCUGCAACUCGCCUGCACGAAGUCGGAAUCGCUAGUAAUCGCGGAUCAGCAUGCCGCGGUGAAUACGUUCCCGGGCCUUGUACACACCGCCCGUCACACCAUGAGAGUUUGUAACACCCAAAGUCGGUGGGGUAACCUUUUAGGAGCCAGCCGCCCUAAGGGAACAGGAAUGGG